rnacentral:rRNA from 1 species
GACGAACGCUGGCGGCGUGCCUAAUACAUGCAAGUAGAACGCUGAAGGAGGAGCUUGCUUCUCCGGAUGAGUUGCGAACGGGUGAGUAACGCGUAGGUAACCUGCCUGGUAGCGGGGGAUAACUAUUGGAAACGAUAGCUAAUACCGCAUAACAGUAGAUGUUGCAUGACAUUUGCUUAAAAGGUGCAAUUGCAUCACUACCAGAUGGACCUGCGUUGUAUUAGCUAGUUGGUGAGGUAACGGCUCACCAAGGCGACGAUACAUAGCCGACCUGAGAGGGUGGUCGGCCACACUGGGACUGGGACACGGCCCAGACUCCUACGGGAGGCAGCAGUAGGGAAUCUUCGGCAAUGGGCGGAAGGCUGACCGGGCAACGCCGCGUGAGUGAAGAAGGUUUUCGGAUCGUAAAGCUCUGUUGUAAGAGAAGAACGAGUGUGAGAGUGGAAAGUUCACACUGUGACGGUAUCUGACCAGAAAGGGACGGCUAACUACGUG